rnacentral:rRNA from 1 species
UAGCUACGGCGAGUGAGAGGGAAGAAGCCCAAGAUUGAAAGCUGGCGUCUUCGGCGUCCGCAUUGUAAUCUCAAGAAGUGUUUUCCGCUUCGGACCAAGCCUAAGUCCCCUGGAAAGGGGCAUCAUAGAGGGUGAUAAUCCCGUACAUGGCUUGGAGCGCCCGAGGCUUUGUGAUACGCUUUCUAAGAGUCGAGUUGUUUGGGAAUGCAGCUCAAAAUGGGUGGUAAAUGCCAUCUAAGGCUAAAUAUUGGGGAGAGACCGAUAGCGAACAAGUACAGUGAUGGAAAGAUGAAAAGAACUUUGAAAAGAGAGUUAAACAGUACGUGAAAUUGCCAAAAGGGAAGGGUAGGAGGUCAGAGAUGCGGCCUGGGAUUCAGCCUUGCUUUUGCUUGGUGUUUUUCCCAGAUUGCAGGCCAACGUCGGUUUUGGGCACUGGAGAAGGGCAGGAGGAACGUGGCACCCCUCGGGGUGUGUUAUAGCCUCCUACUGGAUACAGCGACCGAGACCGAGGACAGCAGCGUACUCGCAAGAGCGGGCCUUCGGGCACCUUUACGCUUAGGGCGUUGGCAUAAUGGCCCUCUACCACCCGUCUU